UAUAUGUUAAAGCUCCACCCCUCCUUGCCCUCUCAUUGGUCCACGAUAGCAAAAUUAAUUUCCGCCGACAGAUGCCGAUCGCUCGGCCCCCGCUGCUCCCCCGUACCCUAUCCACGCGCUUCCAUGGCGAAGCGACGGCGGCGGCCACAGCGGCGCUGCCGGCGACGGCGGCCGGGUGGCUCCACCUCUAGGAGGAAGCUUGCGGCCACGACGUCUGUCGCCACCAACAGCAGCUCCUCAAGGCGCUGCCGCCCGCGGACCUCCUCCUCUCCCCCAACUCUUUCCCCUUCCUGACCUGCUCCCCUUCCCCCACACUCUUCGCGACGCCGAGCACGGCUUGGCGGCUGGGCGCGCCUCCCUCGGCCCUUCACCUCCCCAACCUCCCUCCCCCUCUCUUCAUGCGUCUCCAUGGCCGCGAGCCCCACUGGCCGGCCGGCCGGCCGUGCAGGAGCGCCCGUCCCAUGCUACCACGCGCAGAUGGAGGUCAGCGUGCGCAGAUCCGCGUGCAUAGCAUGUGGCCGGCGCUUCUCUAGCCGCGGGGGGCGACGCGCCUCCGUCCGCUCAAGCCAUCGCGGCUCGGGCGCUUGAUUCGGCCAGAUGCCACCACUGCCUACCCUCUCCUCUCUCCCCUCCAUCCAAUCAUUGCUGUGGUUUUGGCGAGGAUCCCUGCAGCGGGGCCACCCACGCUGGCGCAGCUCCACCACGAGAGCGCCGUCUCCAUACCCAGCCUCUGCAGCUCCGACUGUGCCGAGGCCAUCACCGACGACGACGCGUCGUCCUUGUUGAGACCUAGCGCAGCAAGGCCAUCCUCCUCAACGACCAAGAAAAAGUUCCUCUAUUCCUCUUGCCGCCCUGUGUACUGUCUCCGCCGCAUGUGUUGUUCGCUUCGUUCUCUACGUUGACAUGUUUUGUGUAACUUCAGAAGUUGGAAGCGUGCACUUGAUGUGUGCACUGCUCGCCACCGAGAGGCUGUUGUAGAUCAUACACCUCAGUCCAUGGGUCCUUACAGCUUGGAGCAGGAGGAACGAGGGGUGGUUUCUGCCCCAUCAAUGAAGGCGACCACUUUGCAACGCCAAGCACUACCAUUAGGCUGCCUGAAGUAUUUGUUUUAUACAUAAAUGAAUCAGUUCAGUAUCUAUGUAGUGCUGAAACGUGCAUGGUUCAUAGUAUCAUCUGACACAGCUCCAUCUCGGCAUACCUCAAGAAAACCAAGGUUCCAAGUUCUCUGAUGGAAUGGCCGAUGAUGGAAGUGAGCUAUCAGAUCAUCACCAGUCCCCCUUUCUAUGUGAUUGUUCCUUACAAUGGUGCCUGAUAGAUCAGUUUCUCUCAAUUUCGCAAUUGCUUUUUCCUGGUUGGGAAUAUCACGGCAAAUCUGAUGCCUGUUAGCAGAAGGCAACUGUCUUGAUCAUCCUGAGUUAUCGAUGUCUUGAAGGCAUAUAAUACAAUGCCAGUAAGUGAUAUGAUGAUAACUACAUGCGACUGUGGACUAUUGGAAAUACUUCAGGAAUUUAGGUCUACGCAAUGCUAAGCAUGCACCCAUUGCAAGCAGCAGUGGAGAAACCAAACAAUAUGUAUGUACUCCUUUAUAAUCUUUAAAUUUAUAAUUGCCUCCGAUAGACAGCACCAGUGCUCAACUGAAUUUUAUUGAAAAGUCAUUCUGAAAGCCUUUUGCAGUGAGAUGCUCACCAUAAGGAUUUUGGUUAGUUUUAUUUGUCUAGACAUCUAUAUUACUGUUGUAAGAGAUUCAUGAGCUUUUUAGGCCUUCUUUAUGCUCGAAUUCGGAUGUCAAGUUUAAAUAUUUGGGGGCAAAAAAAAGAUUGCAACAGUUUUUUAGAUCAUCUUUUAGGUAAGUUACGGUUGUAUUUAUGUUGUAAUCAUAACCACCUGAUCAAUUCAUAAUAUAGUUACCUUACUCUGUCAUUAAUUGUUUGCUGCAAAAGUUGUAGGUAGUAACAAAUUUUUAAUUGGACUGUUGGAAUCUUAAUUUGAUAUUUUGAACUGUAGGAUAAAGUUGUCAAUUUGAUCCCUUUAAGUUUCCUACCACUUCUUGAUCUACCUUGCAGAUUUAAGGAAGUGUGGAUAGUGGACGGCUGCUUGGCAAGUUCCUUAUAGUUUUCAAAGAGUUUUUCCCAUGAUCUCAUUUAUAGAUUGGCUUCGAGUGCAUAAAGAUCGCCAUGCCAUUUUACAAUUUUCAGAUUCAAGCACACUCGCUUUCAUGAAUGUUAGCGGCUUGAAGAGUAAAACUACAUGAUAGGAUAUUGUCAAACACAUCUUUUUUUGUUGAAUGCUAAUUCAGCUUCCGUGAGCUAGCACCAGCGAUUGCACUAAGUUGUACGGUAAUGUGCUAAAUUCUUUUCUACACGACCCCUUUCUAUUUUAGCAUAGGAACAGUGCAUUGUUUUGCCUGGGAUCUCUAUUCUUGUAGGUCUACCCUUAGUUAUUUUGAUCUUCAGCGAUUUUCUUUUUCAAUAGACCUUUUCUGUGUUGUUGCCAUUUCAGUAAAAUAUAUGACUUAUCAACAAAAGUAUUUGAAUUGGAAGUUUGGAACUACAUGUCCAAUUGGAAGAAUACUUUUAUAGAUAUGUGUUCUUCAUGAUUUAGUUAUACUUAUUCUGUCUAAUUAGCAGUUAAAUGUCUGCCAUUUACUUUGAUUGCCUCCCAUGUAUGCAGCAGGUUCCUACUGCACCUGCAUUUACUGCACCCGCGUGCGCACCAACAAAAUAUUGGACUAUUUUCAAGGUAGAGAAUCAGAUUAUCCAAGUUCAGGUUGGGAUAAUAGGAUAUCAAGCUACUACUUAAUGAAUCAGAUUAUCUCCAGUGCAGUACAUGCAUUUACCAAUAAAAUGUUUAGGUGUAGCAUCUUUGUAACUAUAUGUAGUUCUGCAUUUAAAUUUCCAGGGAAAAACCAUAGAUGUUAGCUUUGGUACCAUUGUACAUAAAUGUACAUGUGUAUUUAGAUUCUAUUACAAGAAAAAUAAAUUAUAUUUCUGCAGAACCAUUAUUCUUUUACAAAUAUAUGCUCCCUUCGUUUACUUAAUUUGAGAAAAAGAAAGUAAAAUCUACCAAUUGCAUUUUUAUUCCAUUAUAGAAUAUAAUUGAUCUUUCCUAAGUGACAAUUACAGGGGUUUAGAAAAUAUUAAAUGAUUUUUCAUCACAAUGUUUUUGGAACAUUUAUGACCAGAAUUUUAGCCAUUUGCUUCUUAUCUUUUUUAUUUGUGAAGCUGUUCAAAUUGCACCAAUAGAGAUAACACCUUUCCAUAUGUAAUGUUUGUGAAGCCUAUUUCAACAAUGCUCUUUCAAUGAUACUACAAGAUGUGUGGUCUUCACCAAGUAGCCAAGCGGGAGAUACAGCUUGAUACCUUGUGUUUGCUAAAUCCAAAGCUUCAUCAUUACAAUGGAACAACAGGAGACUCAUAGGACGAAAUUCGCACAUGGUUCAAUUUGAGGAACAAUCAGGUCACCAUAUCGACAUACCAAAGCAACCUUCCACCACAAAUGGAAUCGCUUCAAGUGCGUCAUCAACAUUCACCGCCCAGAUCGAUGCAGCCGCCCAAAACGCUGCCAAGAAAAUCUUUGUGGAACUGUAGAACCUAACUAUGGAUGCACAAACUGAAAUUCAAUUUCCCGACAUAAAUUCAUCCUUCUCACCUUCAUUUGAGGUACCAGCUCCAUUCCUGGGUGCUUCUACCAAUAUUCUAGCUGGAUUCAAAAUUAAAGAGGUCAGGAACAACACAGCCAUCCUAGGAACGUUACAUUCAGUAACGCCUAUGCCAGAAAAUAUGAUAGGCAGUAGCGCUUUUGUACUAAUAUAUAGUUAUGUAUUAUACAUGUGAAAUAAUUGUGAUGUACCAUAUACCUACUAAUAUUUGCAACUGUCAUGAUACUAAUUUUAUAUCUGUUAAUGACAUCCUAUCUUAAUCUAA